ACUAAUUCUUUCGUUGCUCCAGACGACGCAGAGAACGCUCACGGCGGCUCUCUUCACGGCUUCUGUCGAGCAAAAUUUCUUCGAUAAAGGCCAGAUGGCGAUGCGAUGCUUCGCGCGCUUCUUCCGGCUUACCGGCCAUAAUCGCUUCAAAUAUGCGGGUG
rnacentral:misc_RNA from 2 species